UCUGAUGUACCUCAGCUGGUAGAGCGUCAGACUAUAAAUCGAAAGGUCCUUGGUUCAAUCCCGGGUUCCGGCA
rnacentral:tRNA from 1 species